CCCUUAGAUGUUCUGGGCCGCACGCGCGCUACACUGAUGCAUUCAACGAGUCUAAAACCUGCUCUGAUAGGGGUGGGUAAUCUUUUGAAUGUGCAUCGUGAUUGGGAUAGAUGAUUGCAAUUUUUCAUCUUCAAUGAGGAAUGCCUAGUAAACGCAAGUCAUCAGCUUGCAUUGAUUACGUCCCUGCCCUUUGUACACACCGCCCGUCGCUCCUACCGAUUGAAUGAUCCGAUGAAUAUCAUGGAUUGAGGAUGCAAGUAGGUUAGCCUAUCUUCAUCUUCGAGAAGUGAAGUAAAUCUUAUCAUUUAGAGGAAGGAGAAGUCGUAACA
rnacentral:rRNA from 1 species